GAUGAACGCUGGCGGCGUGCCUAAUACAUGCAAGUCGAGCGAACGGACGAGAAGCUUGCUUCUCUGAUGUUAGCGGCGGACGGGUGAGUAACACGUGGAUAACCUACCUAUAUGACUGGGAUAAUUUCGGGAAACCGGAGCUAAUACCGGAUGAUAUUUUGUACCGCAUGGAUCAAAAGUGAAAGACGGUCUUGCUGUCACUUAUAGAUGGAUCCGCGCUGCAUUAGCUAGUUGGUAAGGUAACGGCUUACCAAGGCAACGAUGCAUAGCCGACCUGAGAGGGUGAUCGGCCACACUGGAACUGAGACACGGUCCAGACUCCUACGGGAGGCAGCAGUAGGGAAUCUUCCGCAAUGGGCGAAAGCCUGACGGAGCAACGCCGCGUGAGUGAUGAAGGUCUUCGGAUCGUAAAACUCUGUUAUUAGGGAAGAACAGAUGUGUAAGUAACUGUGCACAUCUUGACGGUACCUAAUCAGAAAGCCACGGCUAACUACGUG
rnacentral:rRNA from 1 species